rnacentral:rRNA from 1 species
GAUGAACGCUGGCGGCGUGCUUAACACAUGCAAGUCGAACGGUGAACGAGGGAGCUUGCUCCCUCCGGAUCAGUGGCGAACGGGUGAGUAACACGUGAGCAAUCUGCCCUGGACUCUGGGAUAAGCGUUGGAAACGACGUCUAAUACCGGAUACGAGGCGUGGGGGCAUCCCCAACGCCUGGAAAGAACUUCGGUCCAGGAUGAGCUCGCGGCCUAUCAGGUAGUUGGUGAGGUAACGGCUCACCAAGCCGACGACGGGUAGCCGGCCUGAGAGGGUGACCGGCCACACUGGGACUGAGACACGGCCCAGACUCCUACGGGAGGCAGCAGUGGGGAAUAUUGCACAAUGGGCGCAAGCCUGAUGCAGCAACGCCGCGUGAGGGACGACGGCCUUCGGGUUGUAAACCUCUUUUAGCAGGGAAGAAGCGAAAGUGACGGUACCUGCAGAAAAAGCACCGGCUAACUACGUGCCAGCCGCCGCAGUAAAAC